rnacentral:tRNA from 1 species
GUUGGCGCUGGCCCGCGGAGAGGUUGCGGCCGCGCUCGGCGACCUCGUGGAGGUAGCCGUCGUCAAGGGUGGCGAUCAUGUCGUGGGCGCCGACG